rnacentral:rRNA from 1 species
CAGUAGCCACGGGAAUGCGUAGGUGGCAAGCGUUGUCCGGAAUUAUUGGGCGUAAAGGGCUCGCAGGCGGUUUCUUAAGUCUGAUGUGAAAGCCCCCGGCUCAACCGGGGAGGGUCAUUGGAAACUGGGAAACUUGAGUGCAGAAGAGGAGAGUGGAAUUCCACGUGUAGCGGUGAAAUGCGUAGAGAUGUGGAGGAACACCAGUGGCGAAGGCGACUCUCUGGUCUGUAACUGACGCUGAGGAGCGAAAGCGUGGGGAGCGAACAGGAUUAGAUACCCCAGUAGUCCCUGUCUCUUAUAC